rnacentral:misc_RNA from 1 species
AACGCACAUUGCGCCCCCUGGCAUUCCGGGGGGCAUGCCUGUCCGAGCGUCAUUUCUGCCCUCAAGCACGGCUUGUGUGUUGGGUGUGGUCCCCUCGGGGACCUGCCCGAAAGGCAGCGGCGACGUCCGUCUGGUCCUCGAGCGUAUGGGGCUUUGUCACUCGCUCGGGAAGGACCUGCGGGGGUUGGUCACCACCAUAUUUUACCACGGUUGACCUCGGAUCAGGUAGGAGUUACCCGCUGAACUUAA